CCUACGGGCGGCAGCAGUAGGGAAUAUUGCUCAAUGGGGGAAACCCUGAAGCAGCAACGCCGCGUGGAGGAUGAAGGUUUUCGGAUUGUAAACUCCUUUUGGUAGAGAAGAUAAUGACGGUAUCUAACGAAUAAGCACCGGCUAACUCCGUGCCAGCAGCCGCGGUAAUACGGAGGGUGCAAGCGUUACUCGGAAUCACGGGGGGUAAAGAGGGAGUAGGCGGGAUAGCAAGUCAGAUGUGAAAUCCUAUGGCUUAACCAUAGAAGUGCAUUUGAAACUGUUAUUCUAGAGUAUGGGAGAGGUAGGUGGAAUUCUUGGUGUAGGGGUAAAAUCCGUAGAGAUCAAGAGGAAUACUCAUUGCGAAGGCGACCUGCUAGAACAUAACUGACGCUGAUGCGCGAAAGCGUGGGGAGCAAACAGGAUUAGAUAUCCCAGUAGUC
rnacentral:rRNA from 1 species